rnacentral:rRNA from 1 species
AUUGAACGCUGGCGGCAGGCCUAACACAUGCAAGUCGAGCGGAUGAGUGGAGCUUGCUCCAUGAUUCAGCGGCGGACGGGUGAGUAAUGCCUAGGAAUCUGCCUGGUAGUGGGGGACAACGUUUCGAAAGGAACGCUAAUACCGCAUACGUCCUACGGGAGAAAGUGGGGGAUCUUCGGACCUCACGCUAUUAGAUGAGCCUAGGUCGGAUUAGCUAGUUGGUGAGGUAAAGGUUCACCAAGGCGACGAUCCGUAACUGGUCUGAGAGGAUGAUCAGUCACACUGGAACUGAGACACGGUCCAGACUCCUCCGGGAGGCAGAAGUGGGGAGUAUUGGACAAUGGGCGAAAGCCUGAUCCAGCCAUGCCGCGUGUGUGAAGAAGGUCUUCGGAUUGUAAAGCACUUUAAGUUGGGAGGAAGGGCAGUAAGUUAAUACCUUGCUGUUUUGACGUUACCAACAGAAUAAGCACCGGCUAACUUCGUGCCAGCCGCCGCCGUAACAC